AAUGUAAAUCAUUUACCCUGACGUUGAAUGUAUUACGGCAGAUGUUAGGUGGCCGCCGGCGACCUCUUACACAUGGAGGAUAGACAACGCUGACAGCUCCUGCAGCUGACGUGUUUACCUUUUAAAGGAAGGUGCAGACUCCCUCCCAUUAAGGGAGGAAAAAAAACCUCAAGAUGCAUUAAUACCUAUCGAUGCAAACGAAUCAUUCGACCAGAUCAUUUACACAUCACUUUAUGAACCGCUCUGUGAAAUCGGACCAGCUCCAAUUGCAAGCGAAGGCUUAAUCUGUCUAAUCAGAAUUUGUUAUUGGGGAAGAAAAAACUUUCUGCUGCUGUGAGUGACAACCUGCCAGAGUUCCUGGAUGUUGUGACUCUGAUUGUCCCCUAAUGGGCUGCUAUCAUUUGAUUUGGUCAGAAACCACACGACACCAGGUUAUAGUCCAAUAGGUUUAUUUGAAAACACAAGCUUCUGAAACCUCGCGCCUUCUUCACUAGCACCUGGAAGAGGAGUGAGGCUCUGAAAGUGUGUGCUUUCAAAUAAACCUGAUGGACUAUUACUUGGUGUCAUGCGACUUCUGACCUUGUUCGCCUCUGUCCAACAACGGGGCCUCCACCUCACGGUUACCAUUUGGUAAAACCUGAUUCAUCUUCAACUCAAUCCACUCCGACUCACCUUUGAGCAGAAGUCCCCCGGUACAAGUUGCAAAGUGGAGGGGAAGAGACAGGAUCUGCAUGUUCAAACAAUGCGGUAUUGGAAACAUGGUUAUUAAGCCUUCCCCAUUACCGAAUGAAGAAUGCAGAUGUGUGUAUCACAGGAGAGAGCUGAAAGACAGCGUGAACAGACAGCUCUCAGGAGAAGCUGCUUUGGAACAUGGUCUGAAUGAAGGUGUGAAAAGUGAUCUGAGGAACAAUGACGCCUGGAAGGUGUCAAAAGAUGUUACUCAGUCCAGAUUAAGUGUUAAAAGGUGAUGAAUACUUUGCAGUUGAAGUCGAUGAAACUAGGACAUCUGGAGAUCGAGAUCCCUCCCUGUUAUCAAGUAGCUUGGCAUUUUACUAUAUUGUAAACCCCAUCCUGGGGGUAGUAUGUGCGAGUCAGUGUUACUAGCAGGGGAGUGAAAAUACUGUUCAAAAAUGUUAAAAAUCACACAACACCAGGUUAUAGUCCAACAGGUUUAUUUGGAAGUACUAGUUUUUGGGGUGCUGCUCCUUCAUCAGGUGGUUGUGGGGCAGGAUCAUAGGGCACAGAAUGUAUAGUAAAAGAUCAAAGUGUCAUACAACUGAUGUGAUGUAUCGAACAAAACUAGAUUGCUGUUAAGUCUUUAAUUAUUUAGAAUUGCAAAUUUCAAUUCAUUAUUAUAUAAAUGUGACAGCUGUCAAUGGAGUGACUACAGUAUGAGAGAAAGACUUGCAUUUAUUACGCAUCUUUUGCAACCUCAAAAGAUUUCUUUACAACCAAUAAUGUUCAUUCUAAGUGUAAUAAAACAAAUGACUGUGGAUGCUGGAAGUCUGAAACAUAAACAGAAAUUGCUGGAGAAACUCAGCACACGUGGCAGCAUCUAUGCAGAGAAAGCAAAGUGAAUGUUCCAGAGUCCAUUUUUGAAGAAGGGCUGAUUCAGUUUUCUCUCCACAGAUGUUGCCAGAUCUGCUGAGUUUCUCCAGCAUUUUCUACAUUCCAAGUGUGGCACUGCUACAAUCAGCAGCCAAUUUGCAAGAUUCUGCAAAUAACAGUGAGCAGAUAAUCUGCUUUUGUGAUGCUUUGUUCAGGAUGCUUUUCUUUGAUAUGAUGCCAUGAGGUGUUUUAUAUCCAUUGGGAAGAUAAAUGGGAAAGGUAGCAGCUGGAAAAGCACACAGUUUCCUCAUCAGGAGAGUCAAUUAUCUCUGUUGGCUGGGCAGCAAUGCAGAGUGAUGUCAACAGCAUGGGUUCAGUUCCCAUUAGCUAAGGUUACCAUGAAGGUCCUAUCUUCUCUAUCUCACCUGAGGGACAAUCACCUUCAGCUUAAUCUCACCACCAGUUGACUGUCUCUCAUAAAGAAGCAGCCCCUAACUACUUGGUAACUUUACCUGUAUUCCCUCAAUUCUGCACUGGGAAUCUGAGCUUCAGAUGUCUGCCAUGGGAGUUGAACUCAUCACUUACUGAUUCACAAAUCUCAGUGCUACUUACCCAGCCUCAGCUCAUACUGCACCUACUAACAUUAAGACCUCAAGAGUUAGAUGUAGAAGGGUGGCACUUUGGCUCAGUGGUUAGCACUGCUGUCUCACAGCACCGGGGCCCAGGUUCAAUUCCACCCUUGGGUGACUCCUGUGUGGAGUUUGCACAUUCUCCUUGUGUCUGCUUGGGGUUUCCUCCAGGUGCUCUGGUUUCCUCUGACAGUCCAAAGAUGUGCAGCUUAGAUGGACUGGCCAUGCAAAAUUGCCCAUAGAUGUGAAGGCUUGGUGGGCUAGCCAUAGGAAAUGCAGGGUUAAACGGGUGGGUCUGGAUGGGAUGCUCUUCCCAGUGGUGGACUUGAUGGGCUGAAUGAGUCAAGAUUAGAGUAGUGUUGGAGAAGGAAGCAGGUCAGGCAGAAUCCGAAGAGCAGGAAAAUCGAUGUUUCGGGCAAUCAUCGGGAAUUAUCUAAUCUGCAGAACCCACUUUCACCUUAAUGGGUUGAAUGGCCUGCUUCCACACUUAAGGUAUUCUAAUUAGGCCAUUCAGCCCAUCAAGUGAGUUCAGUUAUGAAAUGAGACCAUGUCUGAUCUGAUGUUCCACAUUACCUUUCCCUUUAACCUUCAAUUCCCUUAAUGAUUAAAAAUCUAUCCAACUCAGCCUUGAAAAUAUCGAAUGAACUAGUCUCAUAAAGAAUUCCACAGAGUGACAAUCCUCGAAAGGAAGAAAUUCCUCCUAAUCUCUGUUUUAAAUGGGGGACCAAUUCUUCUGAGAUUAUGCCCUCUAUUCCUGCUGUUAUGAAUAACAUUACUGGUGCUGACACUGUCACGAACACCACCAAUACCACUAGUAAUGUUAUUUUUGCCAAUUCUACCACUAACACUGCCAUUACAACUAUCAUCGCUACAUGACAAAUACAUGACAACAAAUAUUUAAAAUGUAUCUUUAAUGUAAGCGACAUGUCAACACAGUUCCACGUGGUGUAACAACAGUGACAAUCCAGUUCCUUAUUUAUUGGAGCCAACUUGAUAUUUGAUUCAACUCUUCACUGUCAUCACAGGAUUCCUUGGACCAACAUGUCCAGUUACUCUUGUUUCUCAUCUACUCAUUACAGAACUUUUAGCAACUGCACUAUCAUACUCGCCCCAGCAUUCCUGGUUCAUGUCCUGCGGUGGGUUCACUUGAACUCACUGGGGACCAACAUUUCUCCAUUAAAGUGGAAAUAUGGGAGGAAAGCCACAGAAGUUUUCAUUCAAAAUGAUGCCGACGCAGGACGAUUCUUUGCUAGCUCUUUACAGCAGAUCUUAUUCUCACAUUUAUGACAUGAUAUACUUGCCCUGCAGGUAAAACAAAACUUUUCACUGUACUUGGGUACAUGUGACAACAAUAAAUCAAAUCAAAUCAAAUCAAACCAAAUCAAUUGAAAACAAAUCAAAUCAAACUUUCCACCUUCAAACCCCUCCCACUAUCAGAGAAACUCUUGUGUCUGGCUAGUGUCACUAUUUGUGAAGAUGCUUAUGCCUGAAACGUCGACUCUCCUGCUCCUCGGAUUCUGCCUGAACUGCUAUGCUUUUCCAGUGCCACACUUUUCGACUCCAGCAUCUGCAGUCCUCACUUUCACCUGGUGUCACUGUUUCACCAAUAAAAGCGAGAUUGCUGGGGAAUCAUUGGGUCUCAACUGUCAAUGGUUAUAUCAUCACUUUGACUUCGGUUUUAUGGAAAUAACAGGGCUCAAGAGAUGAAUCAGUCUCCAAGUUACUUCUGUAUAUCCCUGUAUGACAAAUGAGACAUGAGGAUUGCUAAAGACAGACAUUUGUUUCAAACCUUUUCAUUUUGCACUUAUCAGGACCAUUUGCAAGAAUACCAAUGUGAAGGGCAACAACGUUUACGCUGCAGAAGGAGAGAGUGCUGAUUAGUUGGUAAAGGCAUU